UCGUAAACCCGAUUAAAAUGAAAAGCCCGGAGCUUAGUGAGGAAUUGUAAUGGAAAGCAGGACUACAA
rnacentral:sRNA from 1 species